rnacentral:rRNA from 1 species
AACGCGAAGAACCUUACCUGAUUGACAUCUCCUGAAUUACUCUUAAUGGAGGAAGCCUUUCGGGGCAAGAAGACAGGUGGUGCAUGGUUGUCGUCAGCUCGUGUCGUGAGAUGUUGGGUUAAGUCCCGCAACGAGCGCAACCCCUAUUGUUAGUUGCUACCAUUUAGUUGAGCACUCUAACGAGACUGCCCGGGUUAACCGGGAGGAAGGUGGGGAUGACGUCAAAUCAUCAUGCCCCUUAUGUCUAGGGCUACACACGUGCUACAAUGGCUGGUACAGAGAGAUGCAAUACCGUGAGGUGGAGCCAAACUUCAAAACCAAUCUCAGUUCGGAUUGUAGGCUGAAACUCCCCUACAUGAAGCUGGAGUUGCUAGUAAUCGCGAAUCAGAAUGUCGCGGUGAAUACGUUCCCGGGUCUUGUACACACCG